AAACCAGCACCUCAAGUGGUCAGGAGGAUUAUUGGGCCUAAAGCAUCCGUAGCCUGUUCUGUAAGUUUUCGGUUAAAUCCAUUAGCUCAACUAAUGGGCCGCCGAAAAUACUGCAUAACUAGGGAGUGGGAGAGGUAGACGGUACUCGGUAGGAAGGGGUAAAAUCCUUUGAUCUAUUGAUGACCACCUGUGGCGAAGGCGGUCUACCAGAACACGCUCGACGGUGAGGGAUGAAAGCUGGGGGAGCAAACCGGAUUAGAAACCCGAGUAGUCC
rnacentral:rRNA from 1 species